rnacentral:rRNA from 1 species
CCUACGGUGAGCAGCAGUGAGGACUAUUGGUCAAUGGACGAGAGUCUGAACCAGCCAAGUAGCGUGAAGGAUGACUGCCCUAUGGGUUGUAAACUUCUUUUAUAUGGGAAUAAAAUGUUCCACGUGUGGGAUUUUGUAUGUACCAUAUGAAUAAGGAUCGGCUAACUCCGUGCCAGCAGCCGCGGUAAUACGGAGGAUCCGAGCGUUAUCCGGAUUUAUUGGGUUUAAAGGGCGCGUAGGUGGAUCGUUAAGUCAGUUGUGAAAGUUGGCGGCUCAACCGGAAAAUGGCAGUCGAACCUGGCAGUCUUGAGUACAGUAGAGGUGGGCGGAAUUCGUGGUGUACCGGUGAAAUGCUUAGAUAUCACGAAGAACUCCGAUUGCGAAGGCAGCUCAAUGGACUGCAACUGACACUGAGGCUCGAAAGUGUGGGUAUCAAACAGGAUUAGAUACCCGGGUAGUC